UACGUAGGGGGCAAGCGUUGUCCGGAAUCAUUGGGCGUAAAGAGCGCGUAGGCGGCCCUGUAAGUCCGCUGUGAAAGUCAAGGGCUCAACCCUUGAAUGCCGGUGGAUACUGCAGGGCUAGAGUCCGGAAGAGGCGAGUGGAAUUCCUGGUGUAGCCGGUGAAAUGCGCAGAUAUCAGGAAGAACACCCCGUGGCUAAGGCGGCUCUCUAGUACGGUACUGACGCUGAGACGCGAAAGCGUGGGGAGCGAACAGG
rnacentral:rRNA from 1 species